rnacentral:rRNA from 1 species
GGGUUGUGAGGUUAAGCGACUAAGCGUACACGGUGGAUGCCCUGGCAGUCAGAGGCGAUGAAGGACGUGCUAAUCUGCGAUAAGCGUCGGUAAGGUGAUAUGAACCGUUAUAACCGGCGAUUUCCGAAUGGGGAAACCCAGUGUGUUUCGACACACUAUCAUUAACUGAAUCCAUAGGUUAAUGAGGCGAACCGGGGGAACUGAAACAUCUAAGUACCCCGAGGAAAAGAAAUCAACCGAGAUUCCCCCAGUAGCGGCGAGCGAACGGGGAGCAGCCCAGAGUCUGAAUCAGUGUGUGUGUUAGUGGAAGUGUCUGGAAAGGCGCGCGAUACAGGGUGACAGCCCCGUACACAAAAAUGCACAUGCUGUGAGCUCGAUGAGUAGGGCGGGACACGUGGUAUCCUGUCUGAAUAUGGGGGGACCAUCCUCCAAGGCUAAAUACUCCUGACUGACCGAUAGUGAACCAGUACCGUGAGGGAAAGGCGAAAAGAACCCCGGCGAGGGGAGUGAAAAAGAACCUGAAACCGUGUACGUACAAGCAGUGGGAGCCCUGAUUUAUCAGGGUGACUGCGUACCUUUUGUAUAAUGGGUCAGCGACUUAUAUUCUGUAGCAAGGUUAACCGAAUAGGGGAGCCGGAGGGAAACCGAGUCUUAACUGGGCGUUAAGUUGCAGGGUAUAGACCCGAAACCCGGUGAUCUAGCCAUGGGCAGGUUGAAGGUUGGGUAACACUAACUGGAGGACCGAACCGACUAAUGUUGAAAAAUUAGCGGAUGACUUGUGGCUGGGGGUGAAAGGCCAAUCAAACCGGGAGAUAGCUGGUUCUCCCCGAAAGCUAUUUAGGUAGCGCCUCGUGAAUUCAUCUCCGGGGGUAGAGCACUGUUUCGGCAAGGGGGUCAUCCCGACUUACCAACCCGAUGCAAACUGCGAAUACCGGAGAAUGUUAUCACGGGAGACACACGGCGGGUGCUAACGUCCGUCGUGAAGAGGGAAACAACCCAGACCGCCAGCUAAGGUCCCAAAGUCAUGGUUAAGUGGGAAACGAUGUGGGAAGGCCCAGACAGCCAGGAUGUUGGCUUAGAAGCAGCCAUCAUUUAAAGAAAGCGUAAUAGCUCACUGGUCGAGUCGGCCUGCGCGGAAGAUGUAACGGGGCUAAACCAUGCACCGAAGCUGCGGCAGCGACACUGUGUGUUGUUGGGUAGGGGAGCGUUCUGUAAGCCUGUGAAGGUGUGCUGUGAGGCAUGCUGGAGGUAUCAGAAGUGCGAAUGCUGACAUAAGUAACGAUAAAGCGGGUGAAAAGCCCGCUCGCCGGAAGACCAAGGGUUCCUGUCCAACGUUAAUCGGGGCAGGGUGAGUCGACCCCUAAGGCGAGGCCGAAAGGCGUAGUCGAUGGGAAACAGGUUAAUAUUCCUGUACUUGGUGUUACUGCGAAGGGGGGACGGAGAAGGCUAUGUUGGCCGGGCGACGGUUGUCCCGGUUUAAGCGUGUAGGCUGGUUUUCCAGGCAAAUCCGGAGAAUCAAGGCUGAGGCGUGAUGACGAGGCACUACGGUGCUGAAGCAACAAAUGCCCUGCUUCCAGGAAAAGCCUCUAAGCAUCAGGUAACAUCAAAUCGUACCCCAAACCGACACAGGUGGUCAGGUAGAGAAUACCAAGGCGCUUGAGAGAACUCGGGUGAAGGAACUAGGCAAAAUGGUGCCGUAACUUCGGGAGAAGGCACGCUGAUAUGUAGGUGAAGCGACUUGCUCGUGGAGCUGAAAUCAGUCGAAGAUACCAGCUGGCUGCAACUGUUUAUUAAAAACACAGCACUGUGCAAACACGAAAGUGGACGUAUACGGUGUGACGCCUGCCCGGUGCCGGAAGGUUAAUUGAUGGGGUCAGCGCAAGCGAAGCUCUUGAUCGAAGCCCCGGUAAACGGCGGCCGUAACUAUAACGGUCCUAAGGUAGCGAAAUUCCUUGUCGGGUAAGUUCCGACCUGCACGAAUGGCGUAAUGAUGGCCAGGCUGUCUCCACCCGAGACUCAGUGAAAUUGAACUCGCUGUGAAGAUGCAGUGUACCCGCGGCAAGACGGAAAGACCCCGUGAACCUUUACUAUAGCUUGACACUGAACACUGGUCCUUGAUGUGUAGGAUAGGUGGGAGGCUUUGAAGUGUGGACGCCAGUCUGCAUGGAGCCGUCCUUGAAAUACCACCCUUUAAUGGCUGGUGUUCUAACGUUGGCCCCUUACCGGGGUUGCGGACAGUGUCUGGUGGGUAGUUUGACUGGGGCGGUCUCCUCCUAAAGAGUAACGGAGGAGCACGAAGGUUGGCUAAUCCUGGUCGGACAUCAGGAGGUUAGUGCAAUGGCAUAAGCCAGCUUGACUGCGAGCGUGACGGCGCGAGCAGGUGCGAAAGCAGGUCAUAGUGAUCCGGUGGUUCUGAAUGGAAGGGCCAUCGCUCAACGGAUAAAAGGUACUCCGGGGAUAACAGGCUGAUACCGCCCAAGAGUUCAUAUCGACGGCGGUGUUUGGCACCUCGAUGUCGGCUCAUCACAUCCUGGGGCUGAAGUAGGUCCCAAGGGUAUGGCUGUUCGCCAUUUAAAGUGGUACGCGAGCUGGGUUUAGAACGUCGUGAGACAGUUCGGUCCCUAUCUGCCGUGGGCGCUGGAGAACUGAGGGGGGCUGCUCCUAGUACGAGAGGACCGGAGUGGACGCAUCACUGGUGUUCGGGUUGUCAUGCCAAUGGCACUGCCCGGUAGCUAAAUGCGGAAGAGAUAAGUGCUGAAAGCAUCUAAGCACGAAACUUGCCCC